GCAUUACGUUCACGGAUUAUGGUUGUGUGUAUGCAUCAUCGCACAGUUCAUCAGCUUUAUUACACGGUUCUUCAAAGUUUUAUAUUUUGGUUAGCACCCCCUAAAGGGCAUGAGCUCUUAUGGUGAUCUGCUGAAGUUACCAAGGCUAAAUAAAACUUCUUUGAGACCAUCAGUAAAGUUUGGCCGUUAUUAGGAUGGGGUCCGCUACAAGUGAGCUCCAGGAGCUCCUGUAUAGCGUCGUGGAUCCCUUUUACCAGUUCUUGUGUGACCCUCUGUUGCUGGAUGUUCGUCUCCAGGAGGUGCUUCAUGGCUUCAUGGGUACAUGGUGCGUGAACAGAUUGGGACUUCCUGGUUUGUGUUCUAUGAGCCAUAUUCUCCACCAGUGUAGAAGCUCGUUCUCUGGUCUGGUGGAACACAGGCACCAGACAUGCAAAAUCAUGAAGUGUUAGAGGUGUUUAUUUACAAGAAAAAGUUGAGUGAAGGUGCAGUGAGAGUUAGAAGUGUAGACAUGGUUGCUGUCUGGAUAAUAGAAGGGGGUUUAGGGGCGAAUCUUUAGCACAUUGCGGGAAGGGAGUGUAAGGAUGGUCAGAUCUGUUCAUGGUACCAGACCCCGAGAACUGCCAUGCAACUUCAUGAGACCAGACCCCGAGAACUACCAUGCAACAAAACAAUAAACCUUCUAAUCUGAAGAAAGGAUCUCUUUGAUCUGAGGAGAGAAAGCCAUUUGUUCAGCUGCCCAGUCACCCAUCCUUGAGCCCCCCUCUUCCCUCCUGGGGAGAUGGGCGGAUCAUGGAAAGGUGACUGAGAAGGUCCCGGAAUUCAAGCUACUUUACUUGCAUAAUGUAAAAAUUACAAUUUAGUAAUGUAUACAUUUUACCUUCACAUGUUUAGUAUCAUUUUAAAGGUCUUGGUGUGAUUGGAAAUAUGAUCUCAGUCCCAUAUCAGUAAAACAGACCUCAGGUUUGGGGAAAUUCUCUCCUACUGACAUAAGGGUUGCCCCGGAGAACAUCCUGACCAGGUGGUCUAGGUGACAAUUAGGUUUUAGGUCACAUCCUUUCCCAAGAAAGGGUGUGCAAAGCUUUAUCACUUUGAAUUUACAAGUGUUUAUGAUGGUUUGGGUAUUUAAGGAAAUUUGACGAAACACUCAAGGAAGCAUUCGAUAGUCAGAACUUCCCACACAGUCUCUGUGUGUCUCUUGCCAGGUAUAGUGAACAAUUCUUUAGUAAACUACAUUGAUAAAUUAUUUGGUUUAAUGUUGAUCAUGUUAUGUAACUUUCUUCUAUUAUUUGUUUUAAAUGUAACAUUUGUUUAUUGAUUAUUACCUGGCAAAUAAAUGUAAAAUUCUCGAUUA